rnacentral:rRNA from 1 species
CCCUGAAAAUGGAUGGCGCUGGAGCGUCCCACUUAUUCCGGACCGCUUGGGCAGCAAUGGACCCCAAAAGCCAAGCCAAGCUCAAGCGAGUAGGAGGGCCGCUGUGGUGAGCAUCGAAGCCUGGGACGCGAGUCUGGG